CCCCUGUGAUGAGUUGCCAUGCUAAUACUGAGACACCAUGUGGGGGUGGUUUACCCUGCAUUGGGUGUUAUUGAGGUACAUUCUACUUCUCUUGCAUCUCUCUGAGGGGC
ensembl:snoRNA SNORD9 small nucleolar RNA, C/D box 9